ensembl:processed_transcript Gm12409 predicted gene 12409
CUCUGGUUCUAUUGCCAUUUUUCCACAACACCAGCAGCCUACAGAGCGGUAAGAAAACAUCUGCUGCCAACCUCUCCAGGCUGGCCUCGGACAGUAGCCUCUUGAAGGAGGUGCCUGCAGAGGCCAGAAGAGGCUGUGAGAUCCCUGGAGCUGCCUGACUGAUAUUGGCACGGAGAGCUGAACUCAGGCCACACACUUCAUGGGAACAUUUUUGAGAUAAUACCUGCAGACUUAACACUCUAACAGAGUGCAGAGUGAACUCUUAGACAAGCUUCUUCCAGUGAUGACAUUUUCCAAAACUGUGGCACGAUGACACUGACCGGAUGCAGCCACCAGCUCUUACCAGAUUCACCUGAGUCCCUGAAGUCAUUUGUGAGUGUCCACGGAGUCUGAGCACUUCUAUCGCCUGUGAAGGGUCUGUGAGUCCAACACUGUAGUCAAGGUGACAAAGAUCUCUGUGUUGCCCACUGUGGGGGCUACAUGACACUGCCAUUAGCACUCCCCGAGACAAGCAUUUCCUGAUGGCCUGAACCUGUGGGUUUGAUCUUAUGUAGCACUAGGGACUGUCUCACUUACUGUUCUAUUGCUAUGAUGAGGCACCAUGAUCAGGGCAACUCGUAUAAAGGAAAGAAUUU